GCCCUGUCCACUUCCCUGAGGUGCCCUACACCGUAGGAACUGAAGCUCUCUCAUAGUGCUUCGGUUAGUUCCCUGAGUGUUUCUGCAUUUGAAGCUUGGUCCUCUGUGGAGCUGUGAGAGGGGACGGGGGCACUAAGAGAUGAGGCCUAGAGAGGUCUUUCAGUCAGCAUUCUUCGAAGUCUUUCAGCCUAAGGCAGUAAGGAAAGAGAAGUCACCAGCUGUGUUCGUCAAAUCUCUGCAGACACUGAGGUACUGAAGAGGCCUGUGGCAGCGAGCCAAGGCAGUCAGCUGCACAGUAUCUGCUUCAACACAAUAAACCAAGACCCUAAGCACACAGGCAACAGCUCAGAAGAUGAUGGACUCAAUCCAGUGCCAGCGGUUGUUUGUGGGAGACUGGUACAAAGAAAGGCCUCAUAUACUGUGUGUAUUUUACUUCAUAUGAUCAUCUCACAAAUGAAAAGACACUUAUGUCUGUACCAAUGUAAAAUGUAAACACAGCACAAUUCAGCCCGCCUUCCAAGCUAGAGCAGAAAAGCUUAGAAAAGAGAAGUCUACUGCACUCAGGCCUUGUGAGGGAGCUGAGCCUCUUGGGUGUCAGGCUGGGCCAAGCACUCAGUUACAAGUCACCCGUACCUCCAGUUUCUUGAGCCUCUCUUGCUCCUCCUUUGCUAGUUCCUCUUCUGUUUUCAUCCUGUUAGAGGGUUGAGCCUUCAUUUCAAAGGCAAGCUCACGAACCAUCAUGUCAUAUGCAUCGGGCUAAGGGGAAAAUAAAAUGUUUUUCAGAAUUGUUUACAAAAAGUAAAGACCAUUCCAUC
rnacentral:lncRNA from 1 species